AUGGCUGUCCUGGUGCUGCUCCUCUGCCUGGUGAUACUUCCAAGCUGUACCCUGUCCCAGAUACAGCUGAAGGAGGUGGGACCUGGUCUAGUGGAGCCAUCACAGAACCUGUCACUCACCUGCACUGUCGCUGGGUUCUCAUUAACCAGCUAUAGUGUACACUGGGUCCGCCAACCUCCAGGAAAGUGUCUGGAUUGGAUGGGAGGAAUAUGUGAAGGCGACCUCCCGCAACAAAUAUGGGGUGGUGGAAGCACAUAUUAUAAUUCAACUCUCCAGUCCCGAAUCAGCAUCAGCAGGGAAACCUCCAAGAGCCAAGUUUUCUUAAAACUGAACAGUCUGCAAACUGAGGACACAGCCAUGUAUUAUUGUGCCAGAAGUCAUUUUUACACAACACCCUGGAAACUGAAAUACUCAUAG